CUGACACUCUGUCUCCUAGCAACUGAUGGCCUGGGCCCCCCUCUGCAAAGGUGCCAGCUGAAGGUGUUGGAGACAAAGGGAUCAGGUGACCUCCUGGCCCGGGAGAGGGGCUGAGCAGAGGAGGGGCUGGAGGGGUGGUUAGUCUGGAGCUGGCUGGGGACGAGGAGUGAAGUGCAGACGUGGGGGUCUGGCUCACUGCCCCCCAGAAUGGACCCGGCCGAGGGGUCCGGUUCGCGGCACCUACAAGCUCUGUUUUAGACCCUGUUCCUGUCAUCGAAUAAACCUCUGUGUUACUGG